AAAAAAAGGACUCGGCCCUGGGGAAGCCGUGCUGCGUGGGAAGGGACGACACAAAACUGUGUCAGAGCUGUAGGGACAAAACCCGGUGAGGUGUGGGGGUGGAAGGUGGAGUCAUAUUUACCCGGCGGCGUGGGAGCCCCUUCCAGGCGCUGCUGAAACGCGGGCUCCUGUAUCCGCAGCACAGGAAACUGAGGCACAGAGACCCAAAAUGGUAAGUGACAGAGCUGAGCUGGACCCCAGGACUGCCUGAUCUAAACCCAAACUCUGGCCCUGGAUUACUUGCCCGGGCUCUGCUGUGCCCUCCGCAUCCCAAGCUUGCCUAGCCCAACCCCUAGCUUGGGCAUCCAGGCCAAGCCUGGAGAAGUUUGCCUUUAUAUCACCGGCCACAAACCUGGGAUGUUGUGUGAUGACCAUUUCACCAUGGCAAGGGGACCAGAGGCCCAGGGAGCUCCCUCACAAGUGCCCUCUCCGCCCUCCACUUGGGAUGCUGGAGAUGUAGAGGGCAGCCAGACCAGUGGUGUCUGUAUCGGCUCAUGUUAGGGAACUGACCAAGGAGGUAGCCGGCCGCAGGGGGACCUCCAGGGCAGGUGCCUCCCUCCCUGUGUCAUUGGCCCACAGGUUCCAUAUUGGAUGCCAGGUGUAAUGCAAAAGCUUCGUGGGGGUUGGGGGGAGUUCCUCAUUUGCAUUUCUUUAGCAGUGUCCCUGAGUUUCUGGACAGACUCUCAGCAACACCAGGGGUUCCUGGAAAGUGCGAAUUAAGGAUAAGUGUUCUAUCAUAGGAAGAAAGGAAUUUUGGUUCUGAUACAAUCUGAUUAAAUCUCCACUUGCCUUUUGGUGAAACUCUCACUGAGAAUCUAAUACACCUCUGGGAAGGGGCAGGAAACCAAUGUCCAGCUCAGUAAACUUGCAGGAAAUGGACUCCCAUUUAAUCUCCACCAGUCAAGAAACAGAACACUGCCAGCAGGCCCAGAAGGCCCGUGGCCCUUUCUCUUUGGCCAAAAGCACACACAACCUAGAAUAGGUUUAGUUUCUUUGUUUCUUUUAAUGUUUAUUUAUUUAUUUUUGAGAGAGAGCGCGAGUGAGCACGAGCAGGGAAGGGGCAGACAGGGGAAAACAGAAUCCAAAGCAGGCUCCAGGCUCUGAGCUGUCAGCACAGAGCCCCACACGGGGCCUGAACCCACGAACCCUGAGAUCAUGAUCUGAGCCAAAGUCAGGACACUUAGCCAACUGAGCCACCGAGGCCCCAAUUUCGUUUUUUAAAACAGCUACAGUUGAGGGGCACCUGGGUAGCUUAGUUGGUCUUGAUCUCAGUUGAAGUCAUGAUCUUAUAGUUCAUGAGUUGGAGCCCCACAUCGGGCUCUGUGCUGAUGGUGUGGAGCCUGCUUUGGAUUCUGUCUCUCCUUCUCUGCCCCUUCCCUGCUUGGGCUCUCUCUCUCAAAAAUAAAUAAAUAAUGAUAACAGUAAUAAAAGUUAACUAAAAAAACUUUAAGAAAGUGAAUUUUUUCUACUAUUGGAAAAUAAGCACCUUUGGUGGGAAGAGGAACAGCUUUGAAUGAUUUUUAAAUUUGAUUACAUUGGGGCACCUGGGUGGCUCAGUCGGUUAGGCAUCCGACUUUGGCUCAGGUCAUGAUCUUGCUGUUCGUGGGUUCUAGCCUCUUGAAGACUCUUCCCUGUCUGGUUCAUCUCUGGUUCACCUUCGAAUCCUCCUCAAGACGUGAGGAGGAUUUUGCAAAUGUGUGGGAGGAAUUUGUCAGUGUUUGGCCGCCUUCCUCCCUGCCUCUCUAGUCUACUUGGGGCCCGGGAUGGGGGUGCUCCUCAGUUGGGCCGUAGGGCGUCUCGGCGGGGAGGCAGCGCCGUGCUCCCUUCGCUGAAGCUGAGGGAGUGAAGUCCUCCCUCUAUCGCCCUGGGAGUUUGCUGCCCAGCCUCUUGAGCGGCCUGGACUCUGGCCCGCUGUCCGGGCAGGUCCUCCAGCUCCCACAGAGACUGAAAGGACACCCCACGCACAAGUGAAACCAGUAAUCGCUGGGUUCAUAGGCCAAGUAAGCGCAGCUGCAACUUUUUGUCCUGACCUUUCCCACCUGCCCUCAGACGCCCCUGCCUUGGCCUUCAGGGAGGCCGCUGGGAGGAGAACCAAGGGGAGUGCAGUGACAGUCCAAGCAGCCAUCUACGCUCUGUCCUGGGACUGUCCCCAGGGCUCUGCCCCGAUGAGGGGGCCACCACCCUGCAGCGCCUAGGGACACAGUUUGUGGUUUCAGCGUGGACAGACAUCCCUUGGAAUGCCUUCCACCCCCACCUCUCUAGAGGUUCAGCCUAAGUGCUAGCUCAAGAGAUCUCUGGACUGAGAUGAAGUUACAACUCCCUCCUCCAAGUGCCUGCUUUGCUCGGAUGCCUCAGUAGUCCUUUAGGGGCCGAGACCAGAUUGGAAAGCACCGUGCCUCUGUUCCUUUCUUCAGGGCCAGGCCAGACAAGUAAUGCAGAGAACGAGGGGAACAAAGGUAAUCCAGUAUCGUUUUUCUUCCUGGCUUUUGGUCAGUCCAAAUCCUAAGGCGAUGAGGUAUGUCGCGUCACAUUCACGGUGAGAAGUGCAACGAACGGUCUAGAGGAGAGCGCUGUUUGUGAAGAAACCAUCUGGUGAUGCUCUGAGUUCCCUACCUGACCCGUCUCUCAUCAGCCUGGCCAUAAAUAAGCUUCUUGCGAGGAAGGACUGUAAAUUCCUAAGAAAUCUGCCUUUAUUCUGUUGGGUGAGAAAAAUCCUUUUAGGAACAAAGGGCGGCUCCCUACCCAUGCAUGGGUGACCUCCAGGAACAAAACAGCCAUGACACGAACUUUUUAUGCUGAGAAAAGAAAUUAGCAAGAUAACUCAGGAAAUGCAACUCGGAUUCAAACACCAUGAAAUCUUGUCAAGCAAAAAUAGUCUUUAUUCAAAUUUAAUGGAAACAGGGGUCACUAUACUUUGCAAGACGGGGAAAAAUAAAAUUAAAAAAAAUUCUUUUCUUUUCUUUUUU